GAUGAAGAACGCAGCGAAAUGCGAUAAGUAGUGUGAAUUGCAGAAUUCAGUGAAUCAUCGAAUCUUUGAACGCACAUUGCGCCCCUUGGUAUUCCAUGGGGCAUGCCUGUUCGAGCGUCAUUUGUACCUUCAAGCUCUGCUUGGUGUUGGGUGUUUGUCUCGCCUCUGCGUGUAGACUCGCCUCAAAACAAUUGGCAGCCGGCGUAUUGAUUUCGGAGCGCAGUACAUCUCGCGCUUUGGACUCAUAACGACGACGUCCAAAAGUACAUUUUUACACUCUUGACCUCGGAUCAGGUAGGGAUACCCGCUGAACUUAAGCAUAUCAAUAAGCGGAGGA
rnacentral:misc_RNA from 1 species